rnacentral:pre_miRNA from 1 species
GUCCUGGAUUGUGAGUGGGAUAUCCGACUGCCCGUUUAGGCCUGAUCCCAGUAGGUCCGAUCCCACUGGGAUCAGGCCUAAACGGGCAGUCGGACAUCCCUUAAGGGG